rnacentral:rRNA from 1 species
CCUACGGGUGGCUGCAGUGGGGAAUAUUGGACAAUGGGGGGAACCCUGAUCCAGCCAUGCCGCGUGUGUGAAGAAGGCCCUCGGGUUGUGAAGCACUUUCAGUGAGGAAGAACGCCUGGUGGUUAAUACCCAUCAGGAAAGACAUCACUCACAGAAGAAGCACCGGCUAACUCCGUGCCAGCAGCCGCGGUAAUACGGAGGGUGCGAGCGUUAAUCGGAAUUACUGGGCGUAAAGCGCGCGUAGGUGGCUUGAUAAGCCGGUUGUGAAAGCCCCGGGCUCAACCUGGGAACGGCAUCCGGAACUGUCAAGCUAGAGUGCAGGAGAGGAAGGUAGAAUUCCCGGUGUAGCGGUGAAAUGCGUAGAGAUCGGGAGGAAUACCAGUGGCGAAGGCGGCCUUCUGGACUGACACUGACACUGAGGUGCGAAAGCGUGGGUAGCAAACAGGAUUAGAUACCCCAGUAGUC